rnacentral:SRP_RNA from 2 species
GCUGGGUGUGGUGGCACACGCCUGUAAUCCCAGCUACUGAGGAGGCUGAGGUGGGAGAAUCACUUGAACCCAGGAGGCAGGAAUGCAGUGAGCCAAGAUGGCAUCACUGCACUCCAGCCUGGGCAACAGAGUGAGACUGUGCCUCAA